UCUUUGGGCCCAAUAAAAUACCAACGAAUUACUUUCGAAAAAUAUUUUAACAGUCGUCUCUUUCCUGUGAAGAAAGAGUGAGAGUAAGGCGCGAACGGAGUGAGAGAGAGCCACAAGAAUGGCGAAAUUGUGGGGCGUGCGAAGACUGCCACUUCCACAAACCAAACGACACGAACAACGCAAUCCCAAACCAACGAGGAACAAAAAGAAGAAAAGCAAAGAAAGGGUAUCUGCGUUUCUGGGUUUCUCGUUGAGAAUCGAUUGGAAUGGCCAAGCCAGUGACCUUUGUUGUUGGUUCUCAUGUUUGGGUUGAAAAACCAGAAUCAGUUUGGAUUGACGGUGAAGUACUAAAUAUUAAGGGUGAUGACGCUGAGAUUCAAACUAGUGAUGGGAAUAAGUCGACCUACUUUCAUUUUGUCCAGGUUGUUGCAAAGCUGUCAAAAAUAUACCCAAAAGAUACAGAAACUCCUCCUGAUGGAGUUGAUGACAUGACUAAGCUAGCAUACUUGCAUGAACCUGGAGUGCUUCACAAUUUGGCAACUAGAUAUGAGAUAAAUGAAAUUUAUACUUACACUGGAAACAUUCUCAUCGCCAUCAAUCCAUUCCAAAGCCUCUCACAUCUGUAUGAUGCUCAUAUGAUGGAACGGUAUAAUGGAGUGCCAUUUGGAGAACUGAGCCCUCAUGUUUUUGCAAUAGCAGAUGCUGCAUACAGGGAAAUGAUUACUGAGGGAAAAGGCAACUCGAUUCUGGUUAGUGGGGAAAGCGGAGCUGGUAAGACUGAAACAACUAAAAUGCUUAUGCGCUACCUUGCCUAUUUGGGUGGUAAUGCUGCAGCUGAAGGGCGGAGUGUUGAACAGAAAGUUUUAGAAUCAAAUCCAGUUCUUGAAGCAUUUGGCAAUGCUAAGACUGUUAGAAAUAACAAUUCCAGCCGCUUUGGGAAAUUUGUCGAGAUUCAAUUUGAUAAACGUGGUAGAAUAUCAGGGGCAGCCAUUAGAACAUAUCUCUUAGAGAGAUCUCGUGUUUGCCAGAUUUCGGAUUCCGAGCGUAACUAUCACUGUUUUUAUCUCCUUUGUGCUGCUCCACCUCAGGAAACAGAGAAAUAUAAGUUGGGAGAACCUAAAUUAUAUCACUAUCUGAAUCAAUCAAAUUGCUAUGAACUUGAUGGAAUAAGUGAUCAACAUGAUUAUCUUGCCACUCGGAGAGGCAUGGAUGUUGUUGGAAUAAAUGCAGUAGAACAGGAGGCUAUUUUCAGAGUUGUAGCUGCAAUUCUUCACCUUGGUAAUAUAGAUUUUGCCAAUGGGGAAGAUAAUGACUCAUCUGUUCUGAAAAAUGAUGAAUCCCUUUUUCAUCUUCAAAUGACAGCAGAACUUCUCAUGUGUAAUCCUCGGGCAUUGGAAGAUGCACUGUGUAAGCGUGUAAUGGUUACUCCAGAAGAAAUUAUUAAAAGAAGUCUUGAUCCCCUUGGCGCAACAGUUAGCAGGGAUGGAUUGGCCAAAACUAUAUAUUCUCGUUUGUUUGACUGGUUGGUGGAUAAGAUCAAUUUCUCAAUUGGACAAGACCCUAGCUCAAAAUGUCUGAUUGGGGUUCUUGAUAUAUAUGGUUUUGAAAGCUUCAAAACUAACAGUUUUGAGCAGUUCUGUAUUAAUUACACUAAUGAAAAGCUGCAACAACAUUUCAACAAGCAUGUAUUCAAGACGGAACAAGAGGAAUACACUAAAGAAGAAAUAGAUUGGAGCUACAUAGAAUUUGUUGAUAAUAAAGAUGUCCUGGAUCUCAUUGAACAGAAGAAAGGUGGGAUUAUUGCUCUACUUGAUGAAGCUUGUAUGUUUCCAAAAUCAACUCAUGAAACAUUUUCAACGAAGCUGUAUCAGACAUUCAAAGAUCACAAACGCUUCAUGAAGCCAAAACUGACCCGCUCAGAUUUCACCAUUGUUCAUUAUGCAGGAGAAGUACAAUAUCAGUCUGAUCAAUUCCUAGACAAAAAUAAAGACUAUAUUGUUCCUGAACAUCGAGAUUUGUUGAGUGCUUCAACAUGUUCUUUUGUAGCAGGCCUUUUCCCUCCACUUACAGAGGAGGCAACCAAAUCUUCCAAGUUCUCAUCCAUCAGUUCUCGUUUUAAGCUACAACUCCAACAAUUGAUGGAAAUACUAAAUUUUACAGAACCCCAUUACAUAAGAUGUAUAAAGCCGAAUAGUGUCUUAAAGCCUGCUAUAUUCGAGAAUGUUAAUGUCUUGCAACAGCUACGUUCUGGUGGUGUUUUAGAGGCUGUGCGAAUAAAAUGUGCUGGAUACCCUACUUACAGGAGUUUUUCUGAAUUUUUAACUCGAUUUCGUGUCCUGGCCCCGGAAGUUUUAAAAAUGGAUUGUCCUGAAAAUGAAGCCAGCGAAAAGAUUCUGGUGAAGAUGGGGCUUAAAGAUUAUCAGAUAGGGAAAACAAAGGUUUUCCUAAGAGCUGGUCAGAUGGCUGAGCUAGAUGCAAAGAGAAUACUCUUACUCGGUGACUCAGCUAAGGUGAUUCAAACCCGGGGCAGAACUCGUAUUACUCGUAAGAAGUAUGUUUCUACACUGGAGGCUUCUAUUUGCGUACAAUCAUUUUGUAAAGGAGAACUGGCUCGCAAGUUAUUGAAGCUCAAGAAGCGGGAGAUUUCUGCAGUUAAAAUUCAGAAGACUGCCCGUAAACGCCUGGCGAGAAAAGAUUAUCUCAGAAUAAAGUUCUCUUCGACUAUCUUACAGGCAGGCGUGCGGGCAAUGGCUGCCCGUGAUGAAUUUAGAUAUAGGGUUAAUGCGGCAAUUAUUAUUCAGACAGGUUUACGGGCAAUGGUUGCUCGUGAAGAUUUUAGAUGUAAAGUUAAUGCGGCAGUUAUUCAGACUGACUUGGAAGCAAAAGGAGAAGAAACAACGAAGUUGGAGUCCUCUGUGCAAGCUAGUACUGACUUGGAAAAAGAAAAGGUUAAAGAGGCAACAAAUGCGGAGUCCCCCCUGCUUACUAAUGUAAGCGGAGGUGUUGAAAUAGAUGUGUUGUCUAAAUGUCAGGUUGCACAGGUAGAAACUGAAGACGCAUGCUCUAUGACCCAAGAUCUUUCAAGUCCUGAUCAAAAUGCUGAAAGAGUUAAAACUCUUACUGCAGAGGUUGAAAGUCUGAAGGGCAUGUUACAAGCAGAAAAACAAAGAGCCAAUGAGUGUGAAAGGAGGUUUGUGGAAGCUCGGGUAUCAAGUGAGGAAGGACGUAAAAAAUUAGAGGAAACUGAAAGAAUAGUUCAUCAACUUCAGGAAUCUUUGAACAGUGUGUGUCAGGAUGAUAUAUUGCAUGUCAAACCAAGUUUCGGAGCUGAAAACAAUCUUAUCUACCGCGUCCAAGUCAAGUUCAACAACUUCAGGACCUUUUGUUAGACAUGAAGGGUUUGAUAGCAUUUCCAGUAACUCUGAAUGUUCAUCCGCCGACUCAGAUUUCACUUUUCCAGCUCCAGCUACAAGUUCAGCUAACCUUUCCUCUCUCGGCCCCAACUCUAUCCAGCUUAUAGUUCAGGACGUUUCAGGCAUAGAAGUUUCAGGAUCUGAAAGUGAGAAGGAGGGGGCUUUUGAUGACUUCUUCUGACGGAGCUUGUUCUAAUUAUUUUUCUUCUUUCUUGCUUAGAUUUGGGUCUCUCGUUAAACGUCAAACUUCUGGCACUGUAAAUAGAUCGCCAGACUUGAACAUAUACGCCCCAUAUGCUUCAUACAGGAUCAUAGACCGACAAGUUUCUCUCAGGAUUAUAUCGAUCAAUUAGUCAGGUAGCAUGUAGCAAAGGAUCAAGUGUAGUAAACUUUAGAGUAGUACGUAGUCGGAGCUCAUUCACCAACUCCUUUGUGAUUUCAUUUCGCCCUGAUAACUGGCCACGACGCUAACGUGUGCAUAAGAAUCCUCCUCGAGUUUUACUGUUAACAUUUCACUGUAAUUGAUUGUAUCAGAUAGCUUCAAUGUGUUAAUUUAUCUCAACUCAAUAGAUAUGUUGUAGUACUUCUGUUUACAAACAACUGCUUAUGUGGAAAACAUUUGUGUUGAUUCAGAUCAAGCCAAAUUUCUCUUUUU